AAUUUUCUACAACAACAUGGGAUACAAAAAGUGAUACGUGGUAUUGUGCCAAAUUGUCAAAUGAGGAACUUAUUGAAACUGGCCGGAUACGGAUACGGGAAAGAUUCUUAUCUUUCAUGAAUAUUCAUGUUUUUAUUUGCAAUAACGUUGAGCAUUGACA